CUUUACUGAAAAUUUUGAAAGGUACAGUCAUACGAGUGGGGAUGAUAGAUAUAAUGAUUUUGUAGUGUUGCCUUUUCCUGGCUCCAAGAACUUGGUUCCUGUAUGAUCAAUAUAAAUCUUCGCAAGCAAAAUUGUUCGCGGAAAGAUCUUUGUUCGGUUCGUUUUACCUUAAAGUAUCGUGUGGCUACGUAAAUACAAAUAUGUCACAAAAAUUGUCUAUUCUAUAUAUUACGUAAGCUGCGAGCUAAGUAUUUGAAGCUUAGGAUAGGAAGAAUCUAUGACAACGGUGUAUUUUCCUGAGGUCUGAGGACGACUAUAGCUACGCUGAGAAUAUGUACUCGAUCAUUAUAUACAAUUAACUGAAGAAGAAAUGGAUAUUAUAUCUGUAUUUAGCUAAAGCUUUUGUAACAAGAAACUAUCACAUGAACUUCUGUCAUAAAGUAAUAUUCUUCAUUAAGCUCUCGUGGUUUGUGUCUUCGAAGAAGAUCAGAAAGUCUUAGACGGUUUCAUAUGUUCAUUGACCGGCAUACAAAAUGCCUUCUCUCGCGUGAGGAAGUACUUUGAAGCUUCAGUUCACACAAAAACGACGACAAGUUUAUUAUAAAACCUUGACUGGCUUUAUUAUGAUUUAUUAUUUAUCACUUACAGUGGACUGACGUUAUCCCAAAUCAUUGAAGGUAGAAAUCUUGUCGUCGAGACUGAAUGUAGCAAUACUGAAAACAUCAGAACAACACGAACAGAGAACACGAUUGCCAUGUUAAUUGUUGUAUAUACAGUAUAAUCGCCUUGUAAGCUUUAUUCAGAGUUACUGCUGUUCACACUGUGAUCUUUCUCUUUGACAGUUCUGUCAGAAUGACGCGUGCAAUACAAUUGUAAAUAUAUGUUGUUCUAACAAUUAGAGUUUAAAUAUAAUUUAUUCAUGAAUUCUUUGUGUUUCCUUUAUAUAAAUUAAUACAUGAAAUAAAACAGGCCGGCCGAUAUCGUCACAUCAAUUGUGAUUUCCAUGUGAUGUUAGCUUGCC